rnacentral:rRNA from 1 species
UACGUAGGGUGCGAGCGUUGUCCGGAAUUAUUGGGCGUAAAGAGCUUGUAGGCGGUUUGUCGCGUCUGCUGUGAAAAUCCGGGGCUCAACCCCGGACUUGCAGUGGGUACUGGCAGACUGGAGUGUGGUAGGGGAGACUGGAAUUCCUGGUGUAGCGGUGAAAUGCGUAGAUAUCUGGAGGAACACCGGUGGCGAAGGCAGCGCGCUGGGACGAUACUGACGCUAAGGCGCGAAAGCGUGGGGAGCGAACAGG